AGUUGUUCAGUUCACUCUUUGUGUCAGUGGCCUGUCACUCCCAGUUUAUCCCUGUCUGGGAACAGAACCCAGGAAGUCAUGCUUCCUCUUCAGCUCCCUUCAUGUCUUCUCUUUUAAAUUUUGCUUUACUCUAUUCUGCCGUGGUUCGCGAGGAAAAAUAAAAUCCACCAUGACCCCGACGUGACUUGAACACGCAACCUUCUGAUCUGGAGUCAGACGCGCUACCAUUGCGCCACGAGGUCACAGCAAGCUGGUGACUCUGCGUCGCUGAAGGCCUCGCUGCACCGGCUCGCUCCUGGGCUCAGAGGCUCGGGAUAGAACCUGGUCGUUCACGAAUGCAGGGGAGGAGACCGGGAUCCCGCGGCGCCAGCCACCAGAGCCGCGCAGAGGCUGCCCCGCCGCCCUUAGGCGACAAACGUUGGACUCCUCCUCCCCAGUCUCUCGCGGUGACCCACGGGGGACACAGUGUUGAGGGGACCCUCAUGGGCGAGGGGACGCCGAGGAGGAACUGAGGGAUACUCGGGAGCCGGGGGCCGCCCGGGGACUCUGGGACCCGGGGACCCGACUGACUGCGGCGGGGAGGCCGCGGCCCCGCCCCGUAAGAUGGCGGCCGCGUCUGCGGAGGGGCCGGGGUCGUCAGGCGGGGUGAGGGGACCGGGCGGGCACCAGGCCGGGGAUGACGGGGACCUGGCCGGCACUGGGCUCGGGAUGACGGGGACCGGGCGGGCACCGGGCCCGGGAUGACGGGGACCGGGCGGGCACCGGGCCCAGGACGGCAGGUCUGGGAUGACGGAGACCAGGAAGAGCACUCCGGCACCAGCGUUGGUUUUUAGUUCCCUGUCCCUAGAAGAAUCGUGGGUACGCGAGAGGACGACGCCCAAGCGAGCGGUUAGAUAAACAAGCAGGAAAGGCGCGGCAGUUUUAUUAACUAUACAAAUAAACAUUUCUUUGAGGAAAGAACAAUACAGGGAAUAGUCGUAAAACGGAAACACUAGUAUUUCCCGGUGCUGUUUCUUCGUCCGGAUUGAGGCUCGUACGCAUACCAAUGCAGAGAUCUCACCGGUAAAAGUAUCCGAAUUUUCACGAAGGGCAGAUGCCUCACCAGCACCGUUAUCGCGUGUACUUUAAAAUGCACAUGUGAAUGUGUGAACGCAUGUGCUUUUGGAUAUGUUGAAAGGCCUGAUAAAUACACAUGAACUGAGGCGCUCUUACCAUCUCAAAAUCUAAAAUGAUAACCUUUGGAUCUAUUGAAUGUUUCACAAAACCUUAAAAUGUUGCUUACACAAAACAAUAUUCACGGGGCCAUGGGAUAAAAGCUUCAUCGAGCUACGAAAUUUAGCAUUAGAUAUAGAUAUAUAGAUUUUAAAAUGAUUUCCUUCCUAAAUAAACUGUCUCCUUUGGGUGGCUUACAACCA